rnacentral:lncRNA from 1 species
AAGAAGUUUCCUUUUGUUUGAAAGUCUGUUUCGUAAGUCCUUUCUUGUUGUUGUAAGGAAUUAUUUACUGUCAUCUUUUUUUCUAUCAUAAUUUAAAUAACAUGUAGAAAAAGCCUUUAUGACACUGUCAAGAAGCAUUAUGACCAUCCUGUGUCACUUUACUUGGACUAAGAAAAUACACUUUAUGACACUGUCAAGAAUAAUUUUGACCAUCAUAAUCAUAUAAGCCAGAUAGGGCUAUCACGUACAAGCCCUUAUGUCAGUCAACAGUCAAAUAGAAGGUGUCUUGUCCUGCCCCUGAAAUCUGCUGCUGUAUUCAUCCCAGUCAUCAGCAACAAAGCAUUGGGACCUGAGACCUAGGACCAUGCCUCAGGACUACCUGGUAUGAUGACUCCUUGCUGUCCCCAGUCCACCUGGCCGUGCUGCUGCUCCAGUUUCAACUGUUCUGCCUGCGGCUAUGGAACCCUGACCUGUUCACCGGACGUGCUUGUCGCACCCUCGACAACUACUAUGUGAUGUGAUACAGCCAGAAGAGGACUGGCCACCCCUCAUAGCCUGGUUCCUCUCUAGGUUUCUUCCUAGGUUUUUGGCCUUUCUAGGGAGUUUUUCCUAGGGAGUUUUUCCUAGCCACCGUGCUUCUUUCACAUGCAUUGCUUGCUGUUUGGGGUUUUAGGCUGGGUUUCUGUACAGCACUUUGAGAUAUCAGCUGAUGUACGAAGGGCUAUAUAAAUAAAUUUGAUUUGAUUUGCUUUAGUGACACAUCUAGCACUGAGAUGCAGGGCCUUAGACCGCUGUGCCACUAGGAGGCCCCAGCAUUAUUUUUGGUAGAUUAUAUUAAAUGUUAUAUGUUAUUAGUAAUUACAACAAGACAGUUAACCCACUGUUCCCCGUACUUGUAAAUAAGAAUUUGUUCUUAACUGACUUGCCUAGUUAAAUAAAGGUUACGUUUAAAAAUAUAAAUACAAUUACAUUAUAUAGACAUAGGCCCACUGUAACCAAGUCCUCUAAGGAAAGUGUUAUUUUGUUGUCCUCUGCAUCCUCUGCAUCCUCUGCAUCCUCUCUAUCUGUGUGAGGUAGCCUGUACAGCCUAGUGUGGGCUAUGGAUCUCGUCUAUUGUCUGGGUUUAAUGUGCCCAGCCUAGAACAAUCCAGAUGUUUCACCGGAUGCAUAAAUCUGAAGCAUCCGGUUGGCGUUUCCACUCUUUACCAAAUAUGGUGGUUAGAGGGAGCCCACUGGCCGGCAGUGGUAGAAAAUAGAGCGCGAUGGAUUUUGGACGAUCGGUUCGUACGUAAAGCAUUCUCUAUUCCGGCUGCAAAUACAUCGGUUUCCUCCUUAACUUGCUUUAAUGGUUUUUUUUUAUGUGCGUAAUAAAACAUCAUUUCCCACCACCAUUUUCAGAUUUCUGGACAACUUCAGAAUGUUUCAUAUCGCGUUCAGCCAACCAGGUUGCAGCAGUCGGUUGUUUACCCUUAGUUGACAAGGUGGCCAACAUCAUGAAGUAGUAUUAGGCACUCUAGCGUGGUGGUGGGAAAUUGUGUUUUCUUAAGACAGUACGCACAUUUUUUUCGUUUUUUUCCCACAGCGGCACGCAAUUAAAGCUAGUUAAUGAGGAAACCGAUGCCUUUGCAUUCUGAAUGGAGGAUGUGUUAUGUACGAACCGGUCGCCGGGGGCCACCAGCGUAUUACCCGCUGGUCACAUAGCCCAGAUGAUAGUGAAGAUCAAUAGCUCCCACUAACGGCUUCCCAGGCUAUGCAUGAGGAGGAUGUUUUGUCUUAUUUGUUCAUUUCUAAACUGUUAUUACUGUGCUUAUCUGACUCUGAUGUGAUGCACAUUUCUCUCAUCAGUUUCUCACAAUUAAAAAAUUGUAUCUAUCAGAUGGGGAUUGUUUCCACAGACCCCACAAGCAGUCAGCACGGACUAGUACAACUCAGAGACAGGGCAGUCCAGUGUAAUACACUCCCAGACAGACAACACAAAAUUGUUGAGACUUCUUAUUUACUGGCCAUAUAGGCUACUAUUCACCGGACGUGCUUGUUGCACCCUCGACAACUACUAUGAUUAUUAUUAUUUGACCAUGCUGGUCAUUUAUGAACAUUUUAACAUCUUGACCAUGUUCUGUUAUAAUAUCCACCCUGCACAGCCAGAAGAGGACUGGCCACCCCUCAUAGCCUGGUUCCUCUCUAGGUUUCUUCCUAGGUUUUUGGCCUUUCUAGGGAGUUUUUCCUAGCCACCGUGCUUCUUUCACAUGCUUUGCUUGCUGUUUGGGGUUUUAGGCUGGGUUUCUGUACAGCACUUUGAGAUAUCAGCUGAUGUACGAAGGGCUAUAUAAAUAAAUUUGAUUUACUAUAAAGACUUUGAUGUGAUGCAGAUUUCUCUCAUCAGUUUCUCACCCUUUUUUUUUAAUGUUAUUUGGUUUCACAGACUGCACUUAUCCUUCCUGUGCAUUGUAUUCAUGGGUUUAUACAAUAAGUAUAUGGCUGAAUCAUUAUGUGUUUGUAUGUUUAUUUUGUCAACUUCAACAUUUGUAAAGAAUACACUGACGCAAGUGAAGAGAUUCCGCAUUACGUCAUCGGCAGAAGCCACACGUACUCGAGGCAAAUGCUGGGUUGCGCUACUCGAAAAUUUCCAUCACAUCACCACUGCAAAAGGCGUUCGUAAUAACAGGAAUAGACCGUUCUAGGGGUAAUGUACAAUUGACCUAAAUUAAUCGUAAUCACAUCUAUGGACACGGCUGACACGUCUAUCCUGGAUGUAAACAAUGCAGUUUUAUUCCUCGAAAUCCUGGUAAGUACAGACAGCACAAGUGCACCGGAACGACCUUAUUAUCACUCGUGUAAAAUCCAAGUUACUGUAUAGGAACUAGUGAGAUCGAGAUUUGUUUUAAUCCCGAGGCAAAUUGCAUGUCAACUGUUAGAAUUGAAGGAUUGACAAUUUGGGGUUUGUAAACAUCACACUGUUAUUAUGCCUCAUUUGUAGUGACUCUGUCAUAACGGGAUACAGGUUAUCGCAAUGGAUGUGCAUAUACAUCUGUCAUAUACAGCCUGUUGUUGCCUUUCUUCACUCAUCAUGUGUGUUUGACAAGAAAUGUUGACAAAUUAUGCUCUUGGUAUUUCUCACUGCCAAUCAUAGUGUUUCUCAGUUCUUUCUGAAAUACACCAGAGCUGAGCAGGAUCCAUUGUAAAUAAAGUAAUCAAGUCAUUGAC